CGGGGAAAAGGGAAACUAAAUAUCGUCUGCUACUGUCUGCUAGAAUAUUCUCAACAAAAAUUCCGCUUCCUCGUUUGGGUCGAAAGUGCUGGGAACAAUGCAAUAAACUCCUGGCGACAAUUUAAACCUACAAGUGACUUCUCGUAAAUUAAAAAAUGAAAGCGUGCUUGCUGCUGAUUCAGUGUAUUUAAAGAAGUUUAUAUCCAAAGGCUUCGAUAGUCUGUCAUGGUCUUCCAACUAAAACAAUUUAAAGUUUAAUUCUAUUUUGUAAAAACUUGCUAUUAUAUUUAUUUAAUAUAUUAAUAUUUUAUUUAACGAAGUA